GCCCUUAUAGCUCAGUGGUAGAGCGCGCCACUCGUACGAUUACGAGUUUAUCUCAUGGUGAGGUCGGUUGUUCAAUCCAGCCUGGGGGCA
rfam:Schizopora paradoxa strain KTC8140 unplaced genomic scaffold SCHPAscaffold_00379, whole genome shotgun sequence.